rnacentral:rRNA from 1 species
UCGGGAAUUUUGGGCAAUGGGCGAAAGCCUGACCCAGCAACGCCGCGUGAAGGAUGAAGUAUUUCGGUAUGUAAACUUCGUAAGAAUAGGAAGAAUAAAUGACGGUACUAUUUGUAAGGUCCGGCUAACUACGUGCCAGCAGCCGCGGUAAUACGUAGGGACCAAGCGUUGUUCGGAUUUACUGGGCGUAAAGGGCGCGUAAGCGGUUUGUCAAGUCAGUUGUGAAAUCUCCGAGCUUAACUCGGAACGGUCAACUGAUACUGUCAAACUAGAGUACAGAAGGGGCAAUCGGAAUUCUUGGUGUAGCGGUGAAAUGCGUAGAUAUCAAGAGGAACACCUGAGGCGAAGGCGGGUUGCUGGGCUGAUACUGACGCUGAAGCGCGAAAGCUAGGGUAGCAAACGGGAUUAGAUACCCCCGUAGUCCCUGAGCGGGCUGGCAAGGCGCAU